GACAGAGGUGCCGAGCGUUAGGCGGAAUCACUGGGCUUAAAGCGUGUGUAGGCGGGCGGGCAAGUACCUUGUGAAAUCCCACGGCUCAACCGUGGAACUGCUGGGUAUACUGCCUGUCUUGAGCCAGCCAGGGGCAGUCGGAACAGACGGUGGAGCGGUGAAAUGCGUAGAUAUCGUCUGGAACGCCAAAGGUGAAAACAGACUGCUGGGGCUGUGCUGACGCUGGAGACACGAAAGCCAGGGGAGCGAACGGGG
rnacentral:rRNA from 1 species